AUGUUUGUGAAAGAAUAAGGUUCCUGAUUUUCAGCGAAAAUCCAGGAUUAAAAGGGAAUCCGGUGAAAUACCGGAGCUGUCCCCGCAACUGUAAGUUCUGAAGAAGCUUUUGCAAACCAUGCCAUUGAGUCGAUUACUGAUGACUUGAGAAGGCCGCAAAAGUAGAACGAGCCAGGAGACCUGCCUAAUUCUGACAAGAUUCU
rnacentral:ncRNA from 20 species